rnacentral:rRNA from 1 species
CACGUAGGGCGCAAGCGUUGUCCGGAAUUAUUGGGCGUAAAGAGCUCGUAGGCGGCUUGUUGCGUCGGCUGUGAAAACCCGCGGCUUAACUGUGGGCUUGCAGCUGAUACGGGCAGGCUAGAGUUCGGUAGGGGAGACUGGAAUUCCUGGUGUAGCGGUGAAAUGCGCAGAUAUCAGGAGGAACACCGGUGGCGAAGGCGGGUCUCUGGGCCGAUACUGACGCUGAGGAGCGAAAGCGUGGGGAGCGAACAGG